rnacentral:rRNA from 1 species
UACGGGGGGGGCAAGCGUUGUUCGGAAUUACUGGGCAUAAAGGGCGCGUAGGCGGCCAUCUAAGUCAGACGUGAAAUCCCUCGGCUCAACCGAGGAACUGCGUCUGAUACUGGAAGGCUUGAAUCCGGGAGAGGGAUGUGGAAUUCCAGGUGUAGCGGUGAAAUGCGUAGAUAUCUGGAGGAACACCGGUGGCGAAGGCGGCAUCCUGGACCGGUAUUGACGCUGAGGCGCGAAAGCUAGGGGAGCAAACGGG